UUGGACGUGGAUAGAUUUGUAUGGCUUGCAACCACGGGAAAAAAUGCUAAAAAAGAAGGU
rfam:Tannerella forsythia 92A2, complete genome.